rnacentral:rRNA from 1 species
UCGUGGGAGAUCCGGGCCUUCGGGCCUGGAGGAGACCGGCGGACGGGUGAGUAACGCGUAGGCAACCUGCCCUUAGGAGAAGGAUAACUCGUCGAAAGAUGGGCUAAUACUUCAUGAUGCAGCGGGGUCGCAUGACCACAGUUGUUAAAGCCCUUCGGGGUGCCUAGGGAUGGGCCUGCGUGACAUUAGUUAGUUGGUGAGGUAAGAGCUCACCAAGGCGAUGAUGUCUAGGGGGUCUGAGAGGAUGAUCCCCCACACGGGGACUGAGACACGGCCCCGACUCCUACGGGAGGCAGCAGUGAGGAAUCUUGCGCAAUGGGGGCAACCCUGACGCAGCCACGCCGCGUGCUGGAAGAAGGCCCUAUGGGUCGUAAACAGCUUUUCUACGGGAAGAAGGGGGUCCCGAUUUGUCGGGACUUGACGGUACCGUAGGAAUAAGCAACCGGCUAACUCCGUGCCCGGCAGGCCCGCCGGUAA